UCAGUCUGUAAUUCUGUCUGGUUGCUUAGACCUGGUUGUUGAAUAUCAACAGUGUCCAUCGGCUCUUCUGUCUGAUUACUUGGACCUGGAUCUUGAAGAUCAACAGUUUCUGUAGGUACUUGCAUCUGAUUAAUAGGGCUGGCAUGUGGAGAACCCAUAUCACUAUCAACCAUUGAGGGGGGAAAGACAUUGUUAUUGUAAAAGAAAGGUUAGAUUGAUUGAUCAACAGAAUUAUUAUUUUUUUUAUUGAUAGUAUUCCAAAAGCAAUUGGGGACAUACUCCUUAUCCAUGUGCAAGGUAAGUGUUAAAUACUAUUAAUAAUUUUUCUCAAUCAUAAUCAAGAAAAGAAAAGGUGUUAUUCAAAUUCUGAAGUAUCUUCUUAUUUACUGAAGAAAAUUAAUCAAAUAAUCAUGAAUAUUCUAUCAUAAACACAAUGAAAUCACAAAUUGAGAAUGGAUUUUCAUGAGAGAAUUAUUCUUCAUGAAUAAUAUUCGAUUUUUCCUUUCCUUCUCCAAUCUUCAUGAGGGAAUUGUCAUGGUAAGUACUCCAAAUCUAUACUAUAACCUUGACAUGUAUGAGUUCAUGGGGAAGUAAGAAACCACAAUAGGAGCACUAGAUGACUCUGAUUUGCUCUUGGGUUUCUCUACGUUAGGCGCUUUCAUGCUGGAGACUUGUACUGAAUCAUCAGCAACUCGGGAAGACGAAGACGAUGAUGAUGAUGACGAUGAAGGAACAAAGCAACUGAAAACAGCUGACAAGUGAACCAUUUUCUUGGUUUUGAGGACCUGUGGAGUUAGCUUACAGAGGUAGUUUUUCUUGAGCUGAAGAAACAGAGGAAUUUAAUGGCAGAUGGUUUCUGAUUGAUGAAGUUGAAGGUGAGAACCUGUGUAUAUAUAUACAGAAGGAAGAUAUAUGAA
rnacentral:misc_RNA from 1 species